AUAGUGUGUGAAUUAAAUUUCUGAACUUAUCGAUAUGAAAAUACAUUUUUAUUUCCUGGUCUUCUUACUUAUUCUUUUCAUGGGUUUUGGUAAUAACCUAACAGAAGCAGCAGCACCAUAUGCAUGCACAGGUAUUUUGAGUGGGAACUAUUGUCCAGACAUUGACGCAUGUGGGAAGGCUUGCGAGUUUUUUCAUUCUAACGAUUUGAUCUUGGCACAAUGUUAUCCAAAGGUAGGAUGCAUUUGUACUUAUGUAAAUCCAGAUCCAACUAAACCAUGUCCACCUCAUAUGAUAAACUAGAAUAGUCAUAUACAUUAUAUUAUUUAGUUGUUUAUCCUUUUUUGGCUGGCGUUCUGAUAAUGGUAAACAAAAUAAUGAUGACUGUAUUAUAUUAUCUAUCUAUCUAUCUAUCAAAAUAAUAAUUAAACCGUGGUUGUACUGUGAUUUAUAAA